rnacentral:tRNA from 1 species
GCGGGUGUAGCUCAAUUGGUAGAGCAUCAGCCUUCCAAGCUGAAUGUUGCCGGUUCGAACCCGGUCGCCCGCU